AUUAGGCUAGGGAAAACGCGAAGGCAGGCAGCUAUAUAAACGAAGCCGCAUGAGCCCUCUGCCGUCACAGAAACCUCUCUUUCUCUCUCUCUUGUCUCUCCUUUCCCAUUUUAUGGGCUCCGACGCCUGGGACGUCUUCUAAGUUCCAAUUCCAGCUUCCACUUCUUCUCCUUUUCCUCCAUUUUCUUUCACUUUCUCGCCCUUUCUUUCUCCAACAAUUUUAGAGAGAGAAGAGGGGGAGAGAGAGAGAGAGAGAGAGGAGAGAGAUAUAUACAAGUCAUACACAAUAUACAACACACAGAGAUUAACCAGACAGCAAGAUGGGGAUCAAGCUGGUGGAGAUUUUGGAUCAGGGAGUGAGAAUCGCUGCCAGAUCUUAUUCUCAUUGCCCUCAGACCAGCCGCAUGUACUACCAUCCGCCUCCGCCCAGCCAUGAAGACCACCACAACCUCCACAACUUUGGCGGCGGCGCCACCACUUCCGGCGGCGAUGCUACGACGGCCCAGAUGCGGUGUUUUGGUCCCAAGAAGGCUGAUACCAAUGAGUUUAUUAUUCUUUUCUCUGUUUGAUUCAGUAUUGUUAUUGAGGCAAAACGCUUAUACACAUUGAGAUUUUGGGUUAUUCAUUGGCAAACUUUUUUCCUUUUCUAAUUACUGCGGUUAUUUUUUUAUUUUCAGGGAUGAGUUCAUUAACAUGAUUAAAUGAUGGUUGAUAUUCAAAUAGUUAUUGGUCUGAUAUAAAUUAUGCUAUCAAUCUAAAUGAUUGUUAAUACAGGAAUUAACUUUUUGAUUAAUUUAUAGGAAAUCAUUUCUCUUUACAAAUGAAUCACGGUGUGACAUGUGUGUUGGAACAGUUCCUUUUAUAUGUGGAGAGGAAAACAUUGUAUGAUUUAUGGAUCCCAAGGAGGUCUUUAAUAUUGGAUUAUGGAG
rnacentral:lncRNA from 1 species